UUUACAUCGCAUUCAAGUAUUUUCGUUUGGGAGAGUUUUAGUCAAUUUUCCAUUUGUUGUCAAUAAAAGUGUGCUUACAUAAUUAAGUUCUGUUUAAAACGGAAAUUAGGGCUCAAUUAGAGGAAUACCACGGCGUACAAAUAUCUGCGCAAACUGUACGAAGACGACCACAAGAAAAUUCAUUGAAUGGCCGUUUAUCAAGACGAAAACCUAACGUUUCGAAAAAAAUAUUGAAAAGCGAAAAGCGUUUGCUAAAGACCAUCUCUGGGAGGACUCUAAAUUUUGGAAUUUGGUGGUUUGGAGUGACGAAUCCAAAUUUAAUGUAUUUGGUAAUGAUGGGAAACCAUAUUUAAGACGACCCCCUUUGCAAGAACUCAAUCCCAAGUACACUAAAAAAACCGUGAAAGAUGGUGGUUCAUCGGUGAUGGUUUGGGGUUGCUUUACGUCAUCAGGCGUUGGCCCGAUUGUUAAAAUAGACGGGAAAAUGACAAAUGAAAUGUACAAAGGAAUACUGGAGAACAAUUUAGACAGUGGCUAUGUGGACAAUUUACCGUUAGCUUGGAUUUUUCAGCACGAUAACGACCCCAAACACUGCUCGCGGGUCGCUAAAACUUGCAUACGUAGUCGAAAUAUUAAAAUUCUGGAUUGGCCAGCUCAAAGUCCGGACCUAAACACCAUAGAAAACCUAUGGGGGAUUAUAAAAAGAGCCGUAGCUGCACGAAAACCUCGCAACAAAGAUUCUUUAUGGGAAAUAAUACAGACAGAGUGGUACAAAAUAAGUCCCGCUCAAUGUGCUACUUUAGUCCAAACAAUGCCUUAGCGAUGUACUGCAGUGCUACGUAAUAAAGGAUAUCCAACUAAGUAUUAGUCUUAGGUGACUUGAUUAUAUGAACACAACAACUUGGAUGUGCUAAGCGAUUGAACGCAAAAUUUUUAUUAUUUUAGAAGUUAAAUAAAAA